ACGGCGAGUGAAGCGGGACUAGCUCAGGAUGUGAAUCUGCGCUUUUAUGGCGCCGAAUUGUGGUCUAUAGACUUUGACGUUAUCUGCCGGGCCAAGUUCCUUGGAAAAGGACAGCUGAGAGGGUGAGACUCCCGUCCGCCUGGUAGAAUGAGUCUUUGUCAACGAGUCGAGUUGUUUGGGAUUGCAGCUCUAAUUUGGUGGUAAAUUCCAUCUAAAGCUAAAUAUUGGUGGGAGACCGAUAGCGUACAAGUACCGUGAGGGAAAGAUGCAAAGAACUUUGAAAAGAGAGUUAAAGAGUACCUGAAAUUGCUGAAACGGAAGCGAAGGAAACCAGUGUUUGUUGGUUCAUAUUUCCCUGGCCACUUGUGGUUUGGGCGCUGUGAGCUUGCGUGGGUUUGCUUUGGUUGAUCCCUUUGGAAGAGCGCAGACAGAGUUGAUGUCUGUUGCUAGC
rnacentral:rRNA from 3 species